GUUGGAUUUCACAUUCUUGUGAUGAAUUUCUUUGUACUUUGGUCUUUAGAUGAUGACUGAUAACAUCUAUGAUCCUACUGGGGAAGCACAUUUUAGAUAAUUUUCCCAAAUGUCUUUAUAGGUUAUAUUUCCAGAGAACCUGUUGCAACACGGCGUACAGAGACCGCUGUCACUUUGGACUCACCAGGUUAUAUUUCCAGAGAACCUGUUGCAAACACGGCGUACAGAGACCGCUGUCACUUUGGACUUACCAGGUAAGUUACCAACCAAAGGAGAUGGGUAAUAGAUUUCCAGCCAUUAGCAUCAUAUCUGUGUAUUUAAUAAGCACCUAUCUGUGUGAUAUUCUAUGAUACAUGAGUCAAAUUAAAGCAACAACACUGAAAAGAAACAUUGCCAGGUUACCUCUGGCUCUUGGAAUUGGGGUAAUUUUUUUCUGCUAUUUCAGUUCAGUUUAGUUCAGUCAUUCAGUUGUGUCCAACUCUUUGCGACCCCAUGAAUUGCAGCACGCCAGGCCUCCCUGUCCAUCACCAACUCCCGGAGUUCACCCAGACUCACAUCCAUCGAGUCAGUGAUGCCAUCCAGCCAUCUCAUCCUCUGUCGUCCCCUUCUUCUCCUGCCCCCAAUCCCUCCCAGCAUCAGAGUCUUUUCCAAUGAGUCAACUCUUCACAUGAGGUGGCCAAAGUACUGGAGUUUCAGCUUUAGCAUCAUUCCUUCCAAAGAAAUCCCAGGGCUGAUCUCCUUGAGAAUGGACUGGUUGGAUGGUUUGCUAAAAAAUUCCUUUGUUCAUAAGAUGUCAUGGAAAUAUCAGAACAAACUUUUCGCCUGACCCUGCACUAGGGGAUAAAGUGUGUAAUGGUUAAAGCACAGAUAUGAAAGUUUCAAACCUGGCUUCAAAUCCGAAAACCAGGGCGCAUUAAGGCAAGUUCCUUUCCCUCCCUCAGCCUCACUGUUCUUAUCUGAGAAAUACAGGAAAUAUUGGUACCUGCCUACUGCUGUCAACGAGUAGUCGCCUAAGGACUAAACAAAGUCAUUACCGUAAUGUCCUUACUCCAGCGUCUGGCAGUAGUGAAGAGGUAUUUAGCUAUGCUAACAAUUAUAACCUAGGAAACAAACCUGGGUAUAGGAUGGUGACUUCUGAGAAGUGAAGGAGAAGGGGGCAAUUCCAGGAAACAGAAGACUAGCAGAGUUAUCUUCCUGGAGAAGGAAAUGGGAGCCCACUCCAGUAUUCUGGCCUGGAGAAUCCCAUGGACAGAGAAGCCUGGCUAGCUACAGUCCACAGUGUCGCAAAGAGUCGGACUCGACUGAAGCGACUUAGCACCCACGCUGGUGGCACUAGUGGUAAAGAAUCCUCAUGCCAAAGCAAGAGACGUGAGAGACACGGGUUUGAUCCCUGGGUCGGGAAGAUUCCCCUGGAGGAAAGGAAUUUUUUCUAAUGAUUUGAUUCCCAAUCCCUGAAUUCCUUCACUCAUUUGUGCCUUCAGGAAUUAUGCAUGAGGUACCCCAAGGCCACGACAGUGCCACGAAUGAGCUCCUGAGUUCAUGUCCAGGGCGGGUGGGGGCAGGGAGAGGGAGGGAACAGAGGCAUUCAGCAGAACAAGUAUUGAAAUACAAGAGUGAAAAAUAGCACCCAGAAAUAAACCAGGGAAGGUGAUGGACA
ensembl:lncRNA